UGGCUCAGUGGUAGAGCACUUGCCUUGCAUGCAUGAGGCCCGGGGUUCGAUUCCUCA
rnacentral:tRNA from 1 species